UACCGGCUGCUCGAGUGAUAGCCACUUUUACUGGGCUUAAAGCGUUCGUAGCUUGGUCGUUAAGUCUCUGGGGAAAUCUUUUGGCUCAACCAAAAGGCGUCUCAGGGAAACUGGCGAUCUUGGAACCGGGAGAGGUAAGACGUACUUCGGGGGUAGGAGUGAAAUCUUGUAAUCCCCGAGGGACGACCGAUGGCGAAGGCAUCUUACCAGAACGGCUUCGGCAGUGAGGGACGAAAGCUGGGGGAGCAAACCGGAUUAGAUACCCGGGUAGUCCCAGCCGUAAACGAUGUGCGUUAGGUGUGUCAGUGACCACGAGUCGCUGAGGUGCCGAAGGGAAACCGUGAAACGCACCGCCUGGGAAGUACGGUCGCAAGGCUGAA
rnacentral:rRNA from 1 species